AUUCUCCUCAAGGACUCACAGUGCAAAUUGUUGCCAUUCACAAUAGGUCUCCCUCCUACCCUGAUGGAGUAGCAAUAUUAAACACCAGCCAGGCUGGCAGCAAAAUCCUGUGGCUUUUGUUGUUGUUGUUUUAUUUUGUUUUCAAUUGGUUGGAAAUAGAAGUGCUGAGGUACUAACAGGCCAACUCCUAUUCUUGCCCUUGCCACCAGAGUGGUUCCAAAGAGUGUUUAUUGAUAUGGUGAUAGGCGCUUUUUAUAUAUAAAUUAAAAUAUUUGUAUAUAAAAUAAUAAUUAAAAAAUGUUUUCUAGACUGUAAUUUUUUCUUGCCACUACUUCUAAAUUAGGCCAACAAUAUUUGAGAAGAACGAAAUUUUUCUUUUAAGUGAGAUUUAUAGAGGAGUGAGUGUUAAGAAACAAUACCUUUAAAGCAUUUCUUUUAAAGCACUAUUCUCAGAAAACACUUUACCUCUGCUGAGAUUACUGAAAACAUGGUUUGUGAUUGCCCUAGUGAAUUACUCAAGGCAGGGGUGUUGUUGAUUCUGAUAUCCCUGAACACCUGAGAAGGUUGAAGCCAAUCUUCUGUCUUGUGCAGCACAGAGCUGCCAUGAGCCUUGUUAGCAAAGGAGAUGUCUCUGACAAACAUCAGCCCCCACAAACUGAUAGGUUUUAUUCUUUCUCCAUUUUUACCUUGUGUGCCUUUAUCAAAGUUGUCCCAGCAUCCAAGCAUCAUUUCAGCAGCUUUUGGAUGGUUUAUGGCAGGAGGGUUCUUUACUCUUAGAGUGCCUUUACUCACCCAAUUACACAUCUAGGCAUGUUCAUCAGUCUAGGGGGGAUAUGGUUCUUGUGAACUAGACUUCUGUCAGGGAAACAAGAUAGGAAGCUCCACUGUCUACAGGACGUCUACAAGAUGACAGAAAAAAAAUUUCUUUUGGGAACUGGCUUUCCACAUCUGAUGCCUCUGCUGCUGCAAUUAGUGUUAAUGUGUGAACUAACAAACAGCUUUAAAAAGAGAUGGAGUAAAGAAGAAACAUCUCACGGGCUGCAACAGUACAUAUACCUUUUUCCUGCACAUCACAGUGAGCUGGGAAGUGAGAAAUGCUGAUACACUGGCUGGUGAUCUGCAGUCUUUUACUUUCUGGUAUUGAUGUCUCCUGAAAAUGAUGCUAGCUGUGUUUUUAUGCUGUAUAACAUAGGCUGUUAAAAAUGAGCCUCUAUGUAUGUGUCUAGGAAGCCUUUAAAUGAUUCAUUCUGAAGUGGAUUUGAUGUAGAGUCAAACAGCUCUAUACACAAUAUGAACUAAACACAGUCCUCACUGAAGGGAGCUUAAUUAGAAUUUCUAUUUACUCUGAGAUUAUAUACAUUACAUGUAUUUCAAACCAGUUCAAAAAUAAUCAGAUGAAUGGAACUUUUUUCAGUGAAACUUGAAUUACAAGGAUUAUGUUAACACACAAGGUCGAUGAUUUAUAUUCUUCAGUGUUGGUUUUGUGGUGCUUUCUAGCAAGGUUAAUGCGUAAUGAUCUGUGGUAAUGAAGAAUACUACUGAGUAGUCUGACACUGAAAUUAUUACAAGGAAGAAUAAAUCCAGUGCUGAAUCAAUAUAUGAAAA